CCUGUGAGGAGGAGUCAAUGCAAAACUCAGAUGUCUUCCACCUCUACUUAUCUGACUGCAGAGAGGACGACAGAGAACAGUGGACACACAGUUUAACAUGAUGGACUAUAGGACAGGACUGCUGCUUUUAACUCUCUGCUGGGCAGGUGUUGAUGGUCAGACUCUGACAGAAUCUGAACCAGUGGUUAAAAGGCCUGGAGAAUCUCACAGAAUGACCUGUACAGCCUCUGGAUUCACAUUCAGCAGCUACCAUAUGAGCUGGGUCAGACAGGCUCCUGGAGAAGGACUGGAGUGGAUCGCUUUUAUACACACAGGCAGUUCGCAUAUCUAUUACUCCCAGUCAGUCCAGGGUAGAUUCACCAUCUCCAGAGACGACUCCAUGACCAACAUUCUGUCACUGAUACGCCAGUCUCCACCGUCUGCUAAUCAUCCACUCCUGCUCCCCAUCAGCUCCUAAUCACAGCCAGCAUAAAAAGCCCUGCACUCACCUCAGCCAGGGUCAGACCUUGUUUCGCCAUGCUACUCAGCAUAACCCUGAUCUCCCUUUCCUCCUCUUCAGCGAUCUCCCCACCAGCGAGUCUUCCCUCCAACAGAAUCCCCCAUCUCCAUACCUGCACGCCUGUCCUAUCUGGCUGUGAUCCAAUAAACUACUA